GGAGGUAUAGCUCAGUGGUAGAGCAUUCGACCGCAGAUCGAGCAGACCCCGGUUCAAACCCGGGAGUUUUCUUCU